rnacentral:rRNA from 1 species
GACGAACGCUGGCGGCGUGCUUAACACAUGCAAGUCGAACGGAAAGGCCCUGCUUUUGUGGUGUGCUCGAGUGGCGAACGGGUGAGUAACACGUGAGUAACCUGCCCUUGACUUUGGGAUAACUUCAGGAAACUGGGGCUAAUACCGGAUAGGAGCUCCUGCUGCAUGGUGGGGGUUGGAAAGUUUCGGCGGUUGGGGAUGGAUUCGCGGCUUAUCAGCUUGUUGGUGGGGUAGUGGCUUACCAAGGCUUUGGCGGGUAGCCGGCCGGAGAGGGUGACCGGCCACAUUGGGCCUGAGAUACGGCCCAGACUCCUACGGGAGGCAGCAGUGGGGAAUAUUGCACAAUGGGCGGAAGCCUGAUGCAGCAACGCCGCGUGCGGGAUGACGGCCUUCGGGUUGUAAACCGCUUUCGCCUGUGACGAAGCGUGAGUGACGGUAAUGGGUAAAGAAGCACCGGCUAACUACGUG